UAACUUACUUUGAAAGAGCGCAGUAGCAUGUUAUCCCUGUUUGUAGAGAGCUAGAGGUCGGUGAAAUCUAGUACAAAUAACUUUUGCGAAGUACACUCUGGAGUUUCUUGACUAACCUCAAGCGUUUUACGAACGUUAUCUAGUAAAUGAGUGACAUUUACAACUUUGCUUUUGAGUUGUUUAUGUAAUUUGGGUGGUAACACGGUUAAUUCGUCCCUAUU
rfam:Carnobacterium divergens DSM 20623 NODE_50, whole genome shotgun sequence.